CCUACGGGAGGCAGCAGUGGGGAAUAUUGCACAAUGGGGGAAACCCUGAUGCAGCGACGCCGCGUGAGUGAAGAAGUAAUUCGUUAUGUAAAGCUCUAUCAGCAGGGAAGAAAAUGACGGUACCUGAGUAAGAAGCCCCGGAUAACUACGUGCCAGCAGCCGCGGUAAUACGUAGGGGGCAAGCGUUCUCCGGAUUUACUGGGAGGAAAGGGAGCGUAGACGGCAGUGCAAGUCUGGAGUGAAAGGCGGGGGCUCAACCCCCGGACUGCUCUGGAAACUGUACGGCUGGAGUGCAGGAGAGGUAAGUGGAAUUCCUAGUGUAGCGGUGAAAUGCGUAGAUAUUAGGAGGAACACCAGUGGCGAAGGCGGCUUACUGGACUGUAACUGACGUUGAGGCUCGAAAGCGUGGGGAGCAAACAGGAUUAGAUACCCCAGUAGUC
rnacentral:rRNA from 1 species